rnacentral:rRNA from 1 species
GGAUUGAAGGCUGAAAUUCGCCUUCAUGAAGCCGGAAUUGCUAGUAAUGGCAGGUCAGCAUACUGCCGUGAAUACGUUCCCGGGCCUUGUACACACCGCCCGUCACACCAUGAGAGUUGGAAAUACCCGAAGUCUGUGAGCUAACUUAAGGGAGGCAGCAGUCGAAGGUAGAGCCAAUGAUUGGGGUGAAGUCGUAACAAGGUAUC